UCAUGGUGACAGUUGAGAUUGGUAAGA
rnacentral:piRNA from 1 species